UACAGAGGUCUCAAGCGUUGUUCGGAUUCAUUGGGCGUAAAGGGUGCGUAGGCGGCUGGGUAAGUCAGAGGUGAAAUUCCAGGGCUCAACCUUGGGACUGCCUUUGAUACUGUCCGGCUUGAGUACUGGAGAGGAGACUGGAAUUCACGGUGUAGCAGUGAAAUGCGUAGAUAUCGUGAGGAAGACCAGUGGCGAAGGCGAGUCUCUGGACAGUUACUGACGCUGAGGCACGAAGGCCAGGGGAGCAAACGGG
rnacentral:rRNA from 1 species